rnacentral:ncRNA from 1 species
CAACUGAAGAGUUUGAUCAUGGCUCAGAUUGAACGCUGGCGGCAGGCUUAACACAUGCAAGUCGAGCGGAAACGAUUCUAGCUUGCUAGAAGGCGUCGAGCGGCGGACGGGUGAGUAAUGCAUGGGAAUCUGCCCGAUAGUGGGGGACAACCUGGGGAAACUCAGGCUAAUACCGCAUACGUCCUACGGGAGAAAGCAGGGGAUCUUCGGACCUUGCGCUAUCGGAUGAGCCCAUGUCGGAUUAGCUUGUUGGUGAGGUAAUGGCUCACCAAGGCGACGAUCCGUAGCUGGUCUGAGAGGAUGAUCAGCCACACUGGGACUGAGACACGGCCCAGACU